rnacentral:rRNA from 1 species
UACGUAGGGUCCGAGCGUUGUCCGGAAUUACUGGGCGUAAAGAGCUCGUAGGCGGCUUGUCGCGUCGACUGUGAAAACCCGUGGCUCAACCAUGUGGUCUGCAGUCGAUACGGGCAGGCUAGAAUUCGGUAGGGGAGACUGGAAUUCCUGGUGUAGCGGUGAAAUGCGCAGAUAUCAGGAGGAACACCGGUGGCGAAGGCGGGUCUCUGGGCCGAUAUUGACGCUGAGGAGCGAAAGCGUGGGGAGCGAACAGG